rnacentral:rRNA from 1 species
CCUACGUGUGGCAGCAGUGGGGAAUAUUGGACAAUGGGCGAAAGCCUGAUCCAGCCAUGCCGCGUGUGUGAAGAAGGCCUUCGGGUUGUAAAGCACUUUCAGUGGGGAAGAAAGCCUUGGGGCUAAUACCCUCGAGGAAGGACAUCACCCACAGAAGAAGCACCGGCUAACUCCGUGCCAGCAGCCGCGGUAAUACGGAGGGUGCGGGCGUUAAUCGGAAUUACUGGGCGUAAAGCGCGCGUAGGCGGUCUGAUAAGCCGGUUGUGAAAGCCCCGGGCUCAACCUGGGAACGGCAUCCGGAACUGUCAGGCUAGAGUGCAGGAGAGGAAGGUAGAAUUCCCGGUGUAGCGGUGAAAUGCGUAGAGAUCGGGAGGAAUACCAGUGGCGAAGGCGGCCUUCUGGACUGACACUGACGCUGAGGUGCGAAAGCGUGGGUAGCAAACAGGAUUAGAUAACCGAGUAGUC